CGCGUGGGAGAGUGUUUUGGACAGGUUUUCGCAGCCCUGGAUCAGCAGGUCACUGGUUGGAAGCUUAAGAAGGUCUUCGAGCCUCGUUGAGCUGAACUUGUACUCUUAGAAGUUGGUUUGGAAGGUAUUCUAACCUGAGCGGGAGUUCGACUGACCUUUGGGUCAUCCUUGGUU